GCUAUUCAGCCACCAAGACAUAAUGAAGAAAUUUAUAGAAACAGGAAACUGUUUCAUUCUCUGAAUGUAAUGGUUGUUUGUGGGCCAUCCCUCCAGAUCCUUUCCCUGAAUGCCAAGUUUACUGGAAGUUCACAUGAUGCAUAUGUCAUUAGACAAUCAGGGAUAUGGCAGAGAUUAAGAGCAAGUCAACGAGCAGACAUGUGGUUAUUGGGAGACCGUGGAUAUCCUUGCACCCCCUGGCUCAUGACUCCUUACCGUAAUCCCAGGCCGGGACCACAGAUGGCAUUUAACUCCGCGCUUACUGCCACUAGGCAGCUGGUGGAGCGCACAAUUGGUGUCCUUAAAGGGCGGUUUCGUGUGCUCCACCGCACUGGUGGCGACAUCAUGUAUUCGCCGGAGAUGGCAAGUAAAAUAGUGGUCCUGUGCGCAAUACUACAUAAUAUCGCGGUAAGGAGUAGUGUAGAGCUUCCUCAGGCAGAGGAAUUGCCUGAUGAGGAGCCAGGGGUUGUUCGACACUUCGGUGGUGGGAGUGUUACACGGAGGGGGAGCCAAGUGAGGGCAAGGAUUGUUGCCGAAUAUUUCAGCUGAAUGAUCACACAAACUGUGGACAACAACAACGGCAGACCUCUCCGCCCCCUUCCCCUUCCCAGUCCCCCUCCCCUUCUCACUCCCCCUCCCCUUCUCACUCCCCCUCCCCUUCCCAGUCCCCCUCAUCUUCCCAGUCCCCCUCAUCUUCCCAGUCCCCCUCAGCUUCCCUGGCCCACACCACUUUACACUCCCCUUCUCACCACACCUCUCCAUCUCUUUCUGGGACCCCUUCUCCUCCUUCCCAUACCCCUUCUCCUUCAACUUCUAAAUCACCAUCUCUGCCCCCCUCACCCUCUA